rnacentral:rRNA from 1 species
UACGAAGGGUGCUAGCGUUGCUCGGAAUCACUGGGCGUAAAGCGCACGUAGGCGGCUUUUUAAGUCAGAGGUGAAAUCCUGGAGCUCAACUCCAGAACUGCCUUUGAUACUGGAGAGCUUGAGUCCGGGAGAGGUGAGUGGAACUGCGAGUGUAGAGGUGAAAUUCGUAGAUAUUCGCAAGAACACCAGUGGCGAAGGCGGCUCACUGGCCCGGUACUGACGCUGAGGUGCGAAAGCGUGGGGAGCAAACAGG